CGCACCAAAUAAUCCCCUGGGCAUUUAGAAGAGAUUAGGGCACAAAAUUCUCAAAAACUAUUAUCCCCAAGAGAGGAGAAUAUGAAAGUUCCGGACGAGAAAACAGAAACUCCGAGUUAUAACCAGCCCGUAGGCACUCAGGCAGCAAUGGCAGAGCUGUCUCCUGGACCCACGCUGUCCCCUUGUCCCUCCCUGUCCCCUUGUCCCACUUGGCCUUCCUGUGUGCCUGAUUGCAGGACUCAGGAGGAGAUGCCCACUUAGCCUGGUGACGGUGUGGGCUGCAAUCCAAGCUUUUGGGGGUUCUUUGCCCUUGUGACUUCCGGGGAUCACCCAGCCAGAACCCUUGGCCCAGGGCCGCCUUGGCUGUCCGGGAAGGAUGAGAACAUCUGAAGUCAUUAGGUUUCCAACAACCCAGGGUUUCAAAGAAGGAUAAAGAUCAAAGGCAGAGGAGGUCAAAGAAGCCAAAGUCAGAUCACCCCCAGGUUAAAGCAGGAGGAGCCAGCUCCCCGCAGGCCGAAGUCUGUGGGAGGCCUGCCUGACCCCUCAACGGCCUCCCUGCCCUGGAAUUCUGUCAUUUGUCAGGUAGAGCACUGGGACGGAGGGCAGGCUGGACCCGGACAGAGAUACAUAGAGCAGGACAAGGGGACCUGAGAGAGAGCCGGAGAAGAGGGAGGGAGAUGGAGAGAGAGGGAGAAAGCAAAACAGAGACAGCAAGGCAGAGAAGGGGUGGGGGGAGACAGAGAGACAGAGACAGAGGCGAACAGAGAAGAAAAAGCAACCGAAAGCAAAACAAAAAGCCGCAGGCCUAGAGAGGCGGCGGCGAGGCUUAAGAAGAGGGUGUCAGAGGCGAGGGCAGGGCCCAUCCCAGGCCGGUCCUCCUCCAAGGAGCUCACGGAGCCCACGGUCCCGCAAGAAUUUCUCCGGACUUCUUUUGCCUGCCAUGCCGGGCCACGUUCAGUGACACAGCAGUUGUCUUCUAAAUGCCAGGCGGCCACUGUCCCAGCCCCUCUUCCUGAACCUCACUUGGGACGAGCGCUGAGCACCUGCGUCAGCGGGGACGGACCCGCAGUGAGAACUGGCUUAGGCACAGACCUGAGAACCCCUCCCCAAGGGCCCAGCCUGCAACCUGGCCCCCAACCUGCUCUCUCACUUCCCUUUCUCAGUGGGUCAGCACCUGCUGAGCACGCCACACCCUCCCUCUCACCCCUGCCAGGAACACCCUCUUCCUUCCUCCCCCUCCCCUCCCCCACCGGCGGCCUCCUUCUGGGCUGGUCCGGCUUGGCCAAAGCAAGACACGUGGCCACUUAACUUCCAGGGCUCCCGCCCGCCCAGAGGAGCGAGGGAAGGGGUGGGACAUCUGUGAACAGCCUCAGGGGGCUCCGCAUUCGAGGCAGUGGCCUCCCUUCCCGGGCUGAAGCAUCUCAGGGACUGGAGCUACCCUUCUUUUCCUCUGUAUCUCCCCCUUCCCCCUCCUCGCACGGGGUCGGGCACGCAGUGGACGCUGGGGUACUUGCCGAGCAGGUGAUGGGGGCCCACGCAAAAGGCAGCUUUGACCUGCACAGCCCCCGCCCCCUCCCAUCAAGAUGCUGACAACGACAGUGACGGUGAUAAGUGACAUCCCUGGGCAAAGCACUGACGUUGUCACAGCUUGUCACCUACAAGGACUCAGGUGCCUGGUGCACGGGGUGGGGCUCAGCGACUUGUUCACGAUCACGCGGCUAGCCAGUGCAGGGGGGGCCAUCACCUGAGUCGGAGCUCCUGAACGGUCUGCCGGACCCCUGAGCUGGAAGCGGGAGACGUGAGUUCUGGUGGCUCCCCUGCGUGGCCUUGGGUGAGUCGUCUCCCCUCUCGGAGCCUCGGGCUCCCAGUGUGUAUAAUGAGGGCUUGACCUUCUCGGGCGUUAUGUUCCCCUUCUUGGGUGCUGUGUCACCACCCCGCCCCACCCCAAGGAGACACCAUGAGGGUUCAGAAUCGAGCGACGGUUAGAGGCAGGCCUCCUGUCUUCAGGCACCUUACGGUCCAGUGUGUCGAGCCCCAGCCCCCUCACCUUCCAUGGACGUUUGAGUUCUAGCUCAAGUGCGGACAGUGGGGCUGCGGGAGCUGGCGGGGGGCGGGGGAGGGGAGGGGGGGGGGGGAGGAGGGGUUGGAGAAGGUGGAGGAAGGGUUUGGCUGUGCAGGUGAGCUAGGAGGGGUUGACAACAAGCGUAGGUGGGGGUGAAGAGGCCACAGAGCGUGUGACCGGCUGGGAGGACCGGCGGCCCGGCGUGGAGAACGCGACGACCUUCUAGCCAUUUCCCUCUCCGAGCCC
ensembl:lncRNA